AAUUAGAAAGUUUCUUAUGAGACUUUGACCAGAAAACGGCCGGUGCAUGGACAAAGUUUCCGCUAAUCAGAGGUGUCCGCCUUUUAGAGUGUCCGUUAAUUGGAGAGAAUACUGUAGCUUAAAGAAAAAUAUACGAAAGUAUACCUUCCUUUUUAAAUUUUGCUAUUUUGCGCCCCAUGGCCAUUAGUGUAGAAGUUAAGAAAGAUGAAAAGAUGAAAAAGUAAUAUAUUAAAUUACGCCAUUCUUAUAGAUCGAAAAUACCAGCAGUCUUUCUCCAAAAAAAGGUUCCAAUGAAGUAAUUCAACCUGCUACCACGCCUUCAAUGGUCAAUGAAAAGACUAAAGAAGUGGCAAAUGUUUCUUUUUAAAGGGACUGAAAAUACUGCUACGAAUCCCUAACAAAAGUCUUACAUGAAGCCUAAUAAUGACAUCUAAAUGCUUGUUAUAGAUUGAACGCUCCAACACUUCUUUGUUGAAAAAUUGUGAGCGUAAAGAGCCUGAACCAGCGGUGUGUACUUUUUUACCAAAUUUGCAAAAUGUAGAAUAAAAUAUUUACUCACAUAUCUGAAAGAUGUACUACGAUUCUUUAAUAACAGUCGCACUGGAAAUUCAUUAUACCAAAUUUUCAUUUUUGCUGCUGAUUGACAGUACUAGCACUCCUUUGUCUAACAAAUUUGGUGAUAACAAGAUCAAUGCAAUUGCAAGUACUUUUCUUUUACACAAUUUACGAAACAAAAAAAGCAAUACCACAUUAUCCGUUUUUACAAGAAUAGCAAAAAAUAUUUAUGAUGCCUUUUUCGAAAUUUUGUGAAGGAAUCUUAUUAUAUCAAAUUUCCAUCUUUAUUUUAGAUUGAAAGUACCAGCACACCAGCGUGUAAUAAAAAAUCCAAACCAGUCGUAAGUCUUUUUUUAAAAAUAAUUUUUAAGUUAUAAAACAAAAUAUUUAUUUAUGUAUUACCAUUGCAAUUUGCUUCUGUAUGGACAUCACAAACAGUCGUACAGAAAAUUUAUUAUAUCGAAUUUCCAACUUUGUUAUAGACUACUAGCACCCCUUUGUUAAAAAAAUUUGGUGAAAAACUGACUGAAGCAGUUAUUGAAAAUACUAUCACGUCAUCGGCGAACAAUUUUACCGAUCAGGAGACUGCAAAAUCAGUAGGUGUUUUUUUAAACAAUUAACCAGAGAUAGAACAGAAUAUCUUAUUAUAUGUUUCGACUUAUAGGAUGAAUGCAUGCUAUCAGUUGACGUCGAAAAUUACUUUGUGCCAAUAAAAAAGCCUACUAUUAAAGAAAUAAUUAAAGCUUGCAGACCAGUUGCGGUAAUUGCAUAUUGACGUUUACAUUCU